ensembl:lncRNA
AGUGAAGAAUCCGAAGAUAAGAAUUCCAAUGUUCCUUCCUAAUUUACCCACACAGCAUGCAGCAGGGUGAGAAGCAUCUUAAGUUAGUGUGUUAUCCAGAAUGACUUGGCUGGAUUACAACUGCGGCCAAGUUUAGCAAGAUCAACUUCUUUUCCCCAAGCCAAUUGCCUGAGGAUUUGAAAACUUGUCUCUCUGUUCUUCCUUUGAACAAAGAAAGUCAAAGUUACCUUUCUGAGACUUCCUCUCAAAUUGAGCUCUCAAGAUGUUGUCGAGAGCAAAUUUUCAAACAAUCUAUCAGCUUUUCAAGAUCAUUCAACGGAGCUGUCACUCAGCAACUCUCAAAGAACUGUGAAAAAGUACAAAUUUUUGUUGGUCUUCGAGUCAGAAAAGGUGCACUCGUUUUUAUCUCCAACCUGUUUGACCUUGAACGAGUCACUUCCCCAUUUCCGUUCAAGGAUUUUUUUCACCUAUAAGAAUAGCACCUCCCCUUUCUGCCUCAGAAUCCAUGAGGAUCAGCUUGGAUGCGGUGGACACAUGCCAGAGGCUACCAUCAGCAUUUGAGUUUACAGAUGAGACAGAAGGCCAAGAAAAGAGAUGCCUCCUGUAUUCAGACACGGCCAAGCCUAUGGUCUUGGAGUCUGAGGUUAUUUUCUUCCUCGUUGUCCCAAUCAAAGCAGACAGUGCAUCACACGCACGAUGUUUAUGGGUCUGUUCCCAGCCCUAUUCUCAACUCCCCAUCCAUAAGGUGGGCCAGAUUGUAGCAUCUUCCUUCUUUGUCAC